UGGGGAAUAUUGCACAAUGGGCGCAAGCCUGAUGCAGCCAUGCCGCGUGUAUGAAGAAGGCCUUCGGGUUGUAAAGUACUUUCAGCGGGGAGGAAGGGAGUAAAGUUAAUACCUUUACUCAUUGACGUUACCCGCAGAAGAAGCACCGGCUAACUCCGUGCCAGCAGCCGCGGUAAUACGGAGGGUGCAAGCGUUAAUCGGAAUUACUGGGCGUAAAGCGCACGCAGGCGGUUUGUUAAGUCAGAUGUGAAAUCCCCGGGCUCAACCUGGGAACUGCAUCUGAUACUGGCAAGCUUGAGUCUCGUAGAGGGGGGUAGAAUUCCGGGUGUAGCGGUGAAAUGCGUAGAGAUCUGGAGGAAUACCGGUGGCGAAGGCGGCCCCCUGGACGAAGACUGACGCUCAGGUGCGAAAGCGUGGGGAGCAAACAGG
rnacentral:rRNA from 1 species